CAGAGGGAGAAGCAGGCUCCAUGCAGGGAGCCCGAAUGUGGGACUCGAUCCUGAACUCCAAGAUCACGUCCUGGGCUGAAGGCAGGCGCUCAACCGCUGAGCCACCCAGCCAUCCCCAGAAAGGUAGUUUCAAAUUAAAGUUAGAGCUGACAUAUGUUAGGCAAUUACCGAUCUUUGGGUAAAAGUGAUCAUUUACCCAUCUUACAAGGAGUAAUUCUGUAUUUAAUAUUUAUUGUUUUUUUUAAAAAGAUUUAUUUAUUUAUUUAUUUAUUUAUUUAUUUAUUUAUUUAUUUAAAAAGAGAGAGAGAGCAUGUGGGAAGGAGGGGCAGAGGGAAAGUGAGAGAGAGUCUUAAACAGACUCCAUGCUGAGUGUAGGGCCCAAUGCAGGGCUCAGUCUCACCACCCUGAGAUCACAACCUGAGUCAAAACCAAGAGUCUGAUGCUUAACUGAUUGUGCCACCCAGAUGUCCCUGUAUUUCAUAUUUGAUUCUAUUAUUCUAUCACUCUGAUUUUACCUUAUCAAAUUAACUAUAAGAUUGACGUGGGCAGGUAACCCUAUCCUAAUACUAAGCUUGGUCUUAAGAAUGUGGUACUUUUUUUCACCUUUAUUGAGGCAUAAUGACACACAGGAAUUGUAUAUAUAUUUAACGUGUACAACUUGAUAUUCUAGUAUAUGUAUACAUUGUGAAAUAUCACGAAAUUCAAGCUAAUUAAUAUAUCCAUCACCUCAUAUAGUUAGCAUUUUCUUUCUUUAACUUUCUUUCUUUUUGUGCUUUUUUUUUUUUUUUUUUUUGAUGUUUCUUUUGAGGGUAAACACUUCAGAUUUACCCAUUUAGCAAACUUCAAGUAUACAAUAGUAUUGUUAGUUAUAGUCACCGUGUUGUACAAUAGAUCUCCAGAACUUAUUCAUCUUGUGUGAUUGAAACUUUGUACCCUUUGAUAAACAUCUGUCAUUGCUCCCUACUCCCUGCCCCUGGCAAUCACCAUUCUACUCUCUGCUUUUAUGAGUUCAACUGUUUUAGAUUUUACAUAAGAGAGAGCAUGUAGUUUUUGUCUUUCAGUAUCUGGCUUAUUUCAUUUAACAUAAUGUUCUUCAGGGAUCCCUGGGUGGCGCAGCGGUUUUGCGCCUGCCUUUGGCCCAGGGCGCGAUCCUGAAGACCCGGGAUCGAAUCCCACGUCGGGCUCCCGGUGCAUGGAGCCUGCUUCUCCCUCUGCCUGUGUCUCUGCCUCUCUCUCUCUCUCUGUAUGACUAUCAUAAAUAAAUAAAUUAAAAAAAAAAACAAAAAAAAACAUAAUGUUCUUCAGAUUCAUCCAGGUUGUAAAUGGCAGAAUUUUCCUUCUUUUUUAUGACUGAAUAAUAUUCUGCUGUAUUAUCAUGUUUUCUUUAAACAUUUAUCUCACUCUGGACAUUUAGAUGGUUUCCAUAGCUUGGCUAUUCUGAUUAAUGUUCCAAUGGACAUGGGAGUACAGAUAUCUUUUUGAAACCCAGAUUUAAUUCCUUUGGAUAUGUACCCAGAAAUGGAAUUGCUGGAUCAUAUGGUAGUUCUAUUUUUAAUUUUCUAAGGAGCUUCCAUACUAUUCUUUACAGUGGCCGCCACACCACUUCAAAUUCCUACGAGCAGUGCACAAGUGUUCCUUUUUAUCCAUAUCUUCACCAAUACUUGUUAUUUUUUUGUCUUUUUGGUAAUAGCCAUCUAAUAGGUGAGAGGUGAUAUCUCAUUGUGGUUUUGACUUGCAUUUCUCUCAUUACUGGUAUUGAGCACCUUUCCAUGUACUUUUGGCCAUUUGUACUAUUUUGAGAAAUGUCUGUUAAGAUCAAUUGCCCACUUUUUAAUUAGAGUAUUUG
rnacentral:lncRNA from 1 species